CCAGGAGUACGGGAUGGCCAAAUGGUGGCAUAUCUACGAUCAGAUUGUGCUGAUGCUGGACUGGCCUGGAGGUGGUCAACAGGAUACCUUGGAAGCCUGCAUCAACACCCUACACGCAUGCCGCCUCCAGGGCGGAGGCGACCAGGACUGCAGGAGGAGGUGGAAGGCGGCCUACCUGGAGCUGCCUACCGGUGCUAAUCCCAAGCUCACUGUAUAGAACUCAAAGGGACUGACUUGGGGGAUUCCAAGG